rnacentral:lncRNA from 13 species
UUCUCCCUCAGGGGGAGGCGGGCCUUACUGUGUCACUGUUGGAGGAACUGGGCGGAGCCAACGUCUACUGGAGCCCAGCCCAGCUCUCCAAGAUGGACGCCGGCACAAUCACCGCUGUCAUGGAAAUGCUGGGGGAGGUCCUUGAUUACAGCGCGAGCAACUAGUUGUGCUCAGAGAGGAGGCCAUCCAGGUAGAUGGCCAAGCUCAGGCACAGAUCAGUUUACCCUCUUCAAGUCUACGGGGGUUCCGAAACAUACCUUAGAUCAGUGUCUAAAUCUUGGGAGCCAUUUCAUCCAACUCCACAGAAGUUAGAAGAAUCUCAAGUGCAGGGGUGAGGAUCUUUUUUUUGUUCUGCUAUUGAGUGAGCUGUGCAUUCUGAGCUGUGCUGUACUAUAUUGUACUACAGGCCUGGGGUCCAGUGUCAGGUUUGAAUGAGAGCCAGGUGCUCCAGCUGGGCUGUGUCUCUCAGGGGUUCAACCUCACUGAGCUGGCCAGCCUCCCCUUCUCCUCCCUGGACACUCUGGAGACACUUUCCCGCUGCUCCUGGACACAACCACAGAGGGAGGCUGUGUGGAGCGUAUUAAUGAGACAUUGGGAGAACUGGGAGCUGUGGAGUUGGUGGGACUGGACCAGUUCAUCUGUGGUCUGAACACUGAGGAGACUGGUCAACUCAACACUGAUGCCUUCAGGGAGGCAGUACAGUCGGUGGGCGAGGUGCAGUGCCCCCUGGCAGUAACAGAGCUUCUGAAGCAGCGUGCGGUGGCUGUGUUUGGGCAACAAUAUGGGUCAGAUACACUCCUCUGUUCCCCUCUUUUUCUCUCUCACACACACUAUUGCUCUCACUUAUUUUGUGAAAUACAUUUUAAAAUGUAAGCCAUUUCUCCUCCCUCCUCUCUCUUUCUCUCUCUGCUUUAUCUCACUUUUCUCCAGCUGGUUUGAGUUUGUCGAGUUUCUUUCUCUCAGUCCCUCUGCCUUCUCAUUCCUCAGUCCGACUAGCGUUCCCCUCAUCCCCCCAGACCGCCUCGCUGCACUCUCAACCAGCCAGCUGAAGGCCCUGGGUCCUGACAAUGCUGCCAUGGUAACUAAUGCACAGUGGGCAGUGCUGGGGGUGGCACAACGGGCCGCUCUUGGCAAUGCUCUGGGUGUGGCCUAUGACCGAGUGGCCUAUGACCGCACAGAACCGACUACAAACCCACUCAGAAACCUGCCCCAACUCUCAGGAGCAUCUAUGCUGGGAACUCUGGGAGUUGGAGUCUUUAUGCGGCCCUUGUUCCUACUGCUGGGGUUUGUCCUGUAG